GAGGUUGUAGCUUAGUUGGUAAAGCACGCUGCUCAUAACAGCGCUACCAAGUGUUCGAGUCACUUCUACCUUA
rfam:Hammondia hammondi strain H.H.34 contig01515, whole genome shotgun sequence.